rnacentral:rRNA from 1 species
GAUGAACGCUGGCGGCGUGCCUAAUACAUGCAAGUCGAGCGAACAGACGAGGAGCUUGCUCCUUCGACGUUAGCGGCGGACGGGUGAGUAACACGUAGGUAACCUACCUAUAAGACUGGGAUAACUUCGGGAAACCGGAGCUAAUACCGGAUAAUAUUUCGAGCCGCAUGGUUCGAUAGUGAAAGAUGGCUUUGCUAUCACUUAUAGAUGGACCUGCGCCGUAUUAGCUAGUUGGUAAGGUAACGGCUUACCAAGGCAACGAUACGUAGCCGACCUGAGAGGGUGAUCGGCCACACUGGAACUGAGACACGGUCCAGACUCCUACGGGAGGCAGCAGUAGGGAAUCUUCCGCAAAGGGCGAAAGCCUGACGGAGCAACGCCGCGUGAGUGAUGAAGGUCUUCGGAUCGUAAAACUCUGUUAUUAGGGAAGAACAAACGUGUAAGUAACUGUGCACGUCUUGACGGUACCUAAUCAGAAAGCCACGGCUAACUACGUG